UCCCUGAUGGUCUAGUGGUUAGGAUUCUGUGCUUUCACUGCCGUGGCCCGGGUUCGAUUCUCGGUCAGGGAA
rnacentral:tRNA from 1 species